rnacentral:rRNA from 1 species
AUUGAACGCUGGCGGCAGGCCUAACACAUGCAAGUCGAGCGGAUGACGGGAGCUUGCUCCUUGAUUCAGCGGCGGACGGGUGAGUAAUGCCUAGGAAUCUGCCUGGUAGUGGGGGACAACGUUUCGAAAGGAACACUAAUACCGCAUACGUCCUACGGGAGAAAGCAGGGGACCUUCGGGCCUUGCGCUAUCAGAUGAGCCUAGGGCGGAUUAGCUAGUUGGGGGGGUAAUGGCUCACCAAGGCGACGAUCCGUAACUGGUCUGAGAGGAUGAUCAGUCACACUGGAACUGAGACACGGUCCAGACUCCUUCGGGAGGCAGCAGUGGGGAAUAUUGGACAAUGGGCGAAAGCCUGAUCCAGCCAUGCCGCGUGUGUGAAGAAGGUCUUCGGAUUGUAAAGCACUUUAAGUUGGGAGGAAGGGCAGUAAGCUAAUACCUUGCUGUUUUGACGUUACCGACAGAAUAAGCACCGGCUAACUCUGUGCCAGCCGCCGCGGUAACAC